rnacentral:tRNA from 1 species
GCAGCAAUAGCUCAAAGUCAGAGCGCCGGUCUUGUAAGCCGGCGGCCGGAGGUUAAAAUCCUCCUUGCUGCU